rnacentral:tRNA from 1 species
GUAGGUACAGCUCAAGUGGUAGAGCGCAUGCUUAGCGUGCGGGAGAGCCUGGGUUCAAUCCCCAGUACCCCCU